UACGUAGGGGUCUAGCGUUGUCCGGAAUUAUUUGGGCGUAAAGAGCUCGUAGGCGGUCUGUCGCGUCGGUCGUGAAAACCUGCAGCUUAACUGUGGGCGUGCGGUCGAUACGGGCAUGGACUGGAGUUCGGCAGGGGAGACUGGAAUUCCGGGUGUAGCGGUGGAAUGCGUAGAGAUCCGGAAGAACACCGGAGGCGAAGGCG
rnacentral:rRNA from 1 species